GCCAAAAUUGUGGCUUAGUGGUCAGAGCGUCCGCCUCGGAUGCGGGAAGUAGCGGGUUCGAACACUGGCCUAUGUCUCUCCUAUGGCA